AUUGAACGCUGGCGGCAGGCUUAACACAUGCAAGUCGAGCGAGCGGCGGACGGGUGAGUAAUGUCUGGGAAACUGCCUGAUGGAGGGGGAUAACUACUGGAAACGGUAGCUAAUACCGCAUACCAGCAGAUGUGCCCAGAUGGGAUUAGCUAGUAGGUGGGGUAAUGGCUCACCUAGGCGACGAUACCUAGCUGGUCUGAGAGGAUGACCAGCCACACGGGAACUGAGACACGGUCAAGACUCCUACAGGAGGCAGCAGUGGGGAAUAUUGCACAAUGGGCGAAAGACUGAUGCAGCCAUGCCGCGUGUGUGAUGAAGGCCUUCGGGUUGUAAAGCACUGUCAUCGAGGAGGCGUUACUCGCAGAAGAAGCAACGGCUAACUCCGUGCCAGCCGCCGCGGUAAUUC
rnacentral:rRNA from 1 species